GAGGAAAUAACAUAUAUAAUUUUAAAUUUUAACCAUGAUGUAGAACACAAGUGUAGUCAUGAACGUAUUUGCUGCCUUGUAUGUUUGUUGUAGGAGACAGGUGUUUGAGAAGUGGCAUACGGUCUUCAAGAGGAAUGAGUCAAAGGAUAGAUUGUGGAUACCUUGGAGGCCACAGGUUUGUUACCGCUUUGCUGAGUUAUAUGGGUUUGUCUUCUCAAGGGGGUGAGGAACAGAAAACAUCCUUUACCAUCUGAACACUAUGAAACCGAUUAGAUGAACAGACACUGGAGAGAAUGUCAGAUACUAUUCUGAACAAUGGUUGCUGGUGCCUUCAGUCUGUACAGCAAGAGCAGACCAUAGAAACAAACUGAUUUUCUUGAAGUUAAAGGAGUGUGUUAGUCUCCUGGUGCUGCUAUAAGAGACCACCACAGCCUGGGUUAUUCCUCACACUGGCAGCUCUGUUGGAUGAAGGCCCCACCCUUUUACCUCACCUAAAACUUCAUCACCAGAAAAGUCAUAUUGGAAUAUAAGGCUUGUGCAUAGGAGUUUUAGAGGAGAAAUAGCUAAGUCUAUAACUGAGAAAUUCAGGAAGUCCACACUGUCCUGGAAGGCUCGGCAAGGCCUGCAGAGUUCCUGAUUUUUGUCUCAUGUCUAUCAAGCUCCAAGGUGGUGCUGAUGCUGUUGCUCUGGGAACUGUACUUGGAGGAUUGCUUUUAGAUUGCGGGGGUGGGAUGGGGGUGUUACCCUUGAGAGGUGUGAGACAGGGGUAUGGCAGAAACAGAAGGCAGUGGGACGUUCUGGAGACUUUCUUGGUUCAGCUUACCAAGUUAUGUUUAGUCCCGAUUUGAGACAUUCAAAGAGAUUUGAUUGAAGCUCCAUCACUGACAUUGUCUGGGAAAUAAGUGCUAAUUUUAUUAACAGUCUUACUCCCUGGAAUAUUCAGAAUUUUGGUCAACUUUUGUCCCCCUGCCUUUGCCACUUCCGAUCUUAGUCUCCUGUCCCAGUCUGAUGCGUGCUUCUGAGGCUCUGGCUCCUCUCAGUGCAUACGUACACAGGGGAUUCCCGAUCCUCUCCUCUUCUGUUCUGUCAUGUGCUUCUCUUUACAAGUAGCCUUUCUUCUGCUCGCUCUCUCUCUCUCUCUCUCUCUCUCUCUCUCUCUCCCUCCCUCCCUCCCUCCCUCCCUCCCUCCCUCCCCAGAAUAAACAGACUUGCAUAGCUGUCCUCUUUCUUGUAUUCUUCACAAAAGGCUGACACGUUCCCUUGUACUUGGUAUAUUUUAGAAACUCCACCAUAUUGGCUGGUAGACAGCAGCUUCCCUGUCACAGGUGUGUUGUGUUCUGAUCUGUGGGCCAUUCUGUUUGCAACCACUGCCCUCCGUUUGGAGCUUAAAAGGAGGCUCCCAGUAUUCUGAAGUUUAAGUGAUGCCGCAGAGCAUAACCCUGUGCCUAUGUAUUCCACAUUACUAAGGUAUAUCUUCAGAGUACAUUUCUAGUUCUUUUGGGUAGAGUGCUGUUGAUGUCUGUCUCCACUCCCCAAAUUCCUGCCAUGCUCUUGUCUGUGGACUGGGUUCAUGAUGUAAGGAUGCCUUAUUAAAAUAGUGAAGUUUAGAAACAAUAGAUAAUGGUGGUAGUGAGGAGAACUCCAGGGGAAUCUGUGUCCUUGGUUCGUUUCUUUGGUUUUUACAGCAGCCUUAAUUUCCUUCCUGGUCGCGUCUGCUGCUUCUCCAGAAGCACUGUUUAUGUGAGUGUGCCAUUUGCCUUGCUGUUGCCUUGCAACCUUCUGUGUAAUUGGGUGUUACCAUGACCAUCCGUAUUUGAAUAUUCAUCCUUUUGGCACUUGGUAUUUGAUUUUUUUUUUCCCCUCUGUGAGUGACUUCAUCUCGUUUGUCUGUGUCAUUUGGUCUCCUCCUUUUCACAAGAUUUCUUAAGUCUCCUUUUACUCCCGUGAUAGGUGCCAUAGACUCGGGUGGGCUGUGAUUAGUGCCCACAGACUCAUGGACGGUGGAGGCCCUGUUGGUUUGUGGUGUUUAUUAUGCACAGUCAUUCGAAGUCUCUCCUUAGAAUAUUGGAAGCCAUGUGUGGCUUUGUUUGUACUUCCUGUGGUUUUAAGCUUUGAGAAAGGAGAGUUUGGGAUUUAGGGUUUUGCAGUUAUCCUCCUGGCUCAGAAGUUGUAAAGGAACCUUUCAUAAUCAAGGUUUUCGUAUGCUAAUCUAGGUCACAUACUCUCCUCCUGUAGGGCUCUGUGUCUAAGUCUUUGCAUUACAUAUACAUGUACAUGUACAUAUACAAGCAUGCAGAUGUAGAUGUUCUUACAAUGACCUAGUGCAGACCUAGUUUGCCAAGCUGUUUACCGUAGGCCACGGAUAAGCAGACUCUUCUUUAAAAGGUCAUUUUUUAAAUUUUUGAAGUUACAGAAACCAAAUAAUCUUUGUGAAAUUCUUGCUCCUCCCUAUCCUUUUCCCCUCUUCUUUCCCCUCCC
rnacentral:lncRNA from 1 species